GCUCAAACAAUAAACCUGAUAAGUGAUAAUGCUAUAAUUAUUUUACAUAAUUUUAAACAAUACAUUUAGUUGAUUUUCUAGUAGCUUCGAUAAGUAACAUGAUUAAAAGGAGGUGAUCACCAAACAAAAACAACCAUCAAGUGAUUAAAUUUAAUAUUUUUGAUUUUCUACUUUUCUUUAAUUUUUCACCCGAUAUUCAUUGUUCGUGUUGAGACUUGACUAAACUCAAAUCCAAUGGCAGAUCUAGCAUUUAGAGGUCGUGGGUGAGAUUGACACCAAAAGCUUUAAGGUUCCGCUGAAAACUAAAACACUCAGCCAUCUUCACUCCGCCGCUGCUCGGUUCCGCACAUUGCAAGACUCAUUUCUGAGGGUGGUGCCACCAUCGAUCGAUGGAAUUUUUUCCUGUUGUUAAACGCUAGAACUCAAAACGUUUGAGUAAGAAAUUCUAAUCAUUUCACCAUAAUCUAUAUUGGUUCAAUUGCCUACUUAAUACUCAAUUUAUAUUCAUUUGUGUAGUCCAAAUAAAAUGUAGUUUGAUCAAUUCGUUUACUUAUAUGAAAAAUACAUUUGUGAGAUAAUAAUAGAUUUGAACUUGAAAGUUAGGUGUAGGUGCCAUACAUUGGCAAUGGUAGUUGACGUUUGUUGGCCACUGUUGCCAACGAUAAAGACAAGAAUUGGUAGAAAAAAUUUACUCGCACUCAAUAUUUAUAAAUUAAAUCAUAAAUUUAUACUGAUUGAGUUAUAAAUUUAUAUAUUUUUUCUCUAUCAAUUAACUCAUCGAGUCAUGAAAUGCAAAGAAAACUGACAAAUCGUAUCGAAUUGACAAAUCAAAUCAAAAAAACCACGUGUGUAAAGAAAACUGACAAAUCGUAUCGAACUGACAAAUCAAAUAGAAAAAACCACGUGUGCAAAGAAAACUAACAAACAACAUCAAACCCAAAAAGAAAAACACGAUUGGAAAGAAAAAACGAACAAUGAUUUACUUUGAUUUGAUAUUUAAAAAAUUCAAAUUAUAAUAAAUUUAGUUUGAUUUUAACUAAACAACGCCAAGUCCAACUGAAACCAAAUCGGUCCCAUUAUAUGCACAUGUACACCAUUUUAAAACUUACUUUUAUUUUUAAUUAUCACUUACAUUAUAACUUAAUCAAAUUUUUAAUUUCAUGGUAUUUUAACAUCAGGUUUCGACUUAUAUUUUUAGCUUAUACUAUAAAAGUACGAAGGGCCUUAGAAAUAUUGAUCGAAUUUUUUUGCCUUUUAUUAAAAGUCUCUACUCUAAAUAAAAUUAUUUUUUUACUAUUAUUCCUAAUAUUUAAGAAUUAAAAAUUAAUUAAAUAUUUACAGUAAAACCUUUUCUUAUUAGAAGUCAUCAGAAUUAAUGACAACUAAUAUUUUUCUUUUCAUUGAUUUAAGAAUUCUAAAUCAAAGAAAGUUGAUUUUAAGAAGAUUUAAAAAAUCUGGAAAUAAAUGUCAAAGCAUUAGAAUAAGUAAAAUAUAAGACGUAGUUGUUAUAAAUGUAUUUACAUUAUAGUGAAUGUCUAUCAAAAUCUAUCAAGAUCUACUCUGAUAUUUAUUAGGAUUUGAAGCAUCCGUCUUUUACUCAGACUAAAAGUAAUUUUCCCUAUAAAUAGAGGGGUUUUGUUCAUUGUAUUUACAGUCUUAUGAUCUCUCAUCCCUCAAGAGAAUAAAUAAUAAUUACUUUCUCUAUUCUCUGCUCUUCUUUUUGUUCUUUCUAGUUUUAUAAUAAAUUUUUAAAAGCUUUAAGUUAGUAAUCAAAGAUUUUCUAAAGAUUGAAUUUUAAAAAUAAGAAAAAGUUUUAAGCAAAGAAAAAAAUAAUUGUACUACAAAUAUGGUUCGAAUCGAUGCAUCUAUGAAGGAUCUUUGAGAAGCGAUUUUAACUUUUUGCACUUCGUUAAAAAUCUUUGUAAUAAACAAAAUAAUCUAAUUUUAAAUAACUAAAAAUUACGCGUAUGUCUAGCAAAUUAGGAAAAGCUCAAAUCAAAACUAAAUUUUAGAUGCAAUUUCUUAUAUACUUCUAUAAAUACCCUAGACACACAUUCACAGCUCACAUAAGACAUCCAACUUUUUUUAAAAAAAAAUUUGGGAUGUCAUAAUAGGGAAGGGAAACGUUAGAGUAACUGGUAAAAUUACUGUUAUGCGAUGAGGAGGUUGCAGAUUUAAGCCGUGGAAAUAACCUCUGUCAAAAUGCAAGAUAAUAAUGCGUAUAAUAGAAUUUUAUAGUCCGAUCCUGAUCUUUCACCAAAUUUUAUGCAUAUCGAUAGUUUUAGUGCAUCAAGUUGAUAUUCUUUUGAAUGUCAUAAUAGGGACUCUAAGAUGUGACUAAAAUGUUCAACUUUAGCAGAGCUUUGACAUCUAUCAUGCAAUUAAGUAAUGUCUCAAUUAAUUCUCUGCAGAAUACACAUGCAAUUUAAGUAUAUUUGGAUAAUAAGUGGACCAUUAUUUUUGCAGCUAACCAUGUUCAGUAAGUGGAGCAUUAUUUUUGCAGCUAAUCAUGUUAGUAUCAUUUUUUGUAUCAUUUUUUUUUUUUGAAAAAAAUUCAUAAGUAGCAAAUUGAAGCCCAUAAUUAGAAGUUUUAUAGCAAUUGUUUUAUAAUUUCACAAAAUAGCAAAUUGUUUUUUAUAUUUUAAUCAAAUUUUAUUAUCGAAAUAAAUAUACAAACGAAAUUUACUGUCUCUAUUUCCUCAAAUAUAAUAUCCCAAAUCAUAAUUAGUGAGUAAUUAUAAUUUUAUAAGAAGAAAAAAAAAGAGUGAGAGAGAAAUUGGGCUAUUGGGCUAAAGCCCAGUUUAAAAGGGAAAAGGCAAAAAAAGGGCGUGCCUUUGUGCCCUAAUUAAAAAUGGAAUGGGAAAGAUUAUUAUUGUUAUAUAUAUAUAUAUAUAUAUAUAUAUAUACCAAUAAAAUAGGCGAUAAUUCAAGAUUUUUCAAUAUAUAUAUAUAUAUAAAGAUAUUUCAAUUAAGAUACUUUUAAAAUAAAAUGCACUUUUUGAAAUCAAAUGUUGUAAAAAAUCCUACUCAGUACUCCCUAUUUCCCAUUGUUUCUUCACGUUUAUCAUUCUUAUAUUCUAUAUUUUCCUCAAUUUUAAACUUUUUUUUUAUCUUACCCGGUUCAUCUCUUCCUCUUAACCUAUGUUCUUAACAACUUACUUCUUUAACCACACCCCGAAACUUUCAUCUGACAACUAACACUCGUCCUUCGUCUAUUCUGCAGACAUGGAGAACUAUCAAGGCCAGAAUUUCUAGGAAUUUACAGGUUAAUCCAUUGUUGUUACUAAGAAAUUAAGAGGUUAACCAUAUACUAAGGGUAAUGAAUUUAAACAAACAUUUUUUAAUUUACAUGAUGAACAUAUCUAAAAUUUCUAAAAAUAUAAACAUCUAAAACUUCUAAAACAUAAAAACAUAUUUUUGGAGGGAAAAUAUAAAAUAAAUAAGAACUUACAUCAAGUAACUGGGAUAAAGGUUUCCCUUUCGGGAAUCCCCUAAAGACUUUGGAAAACUGAAAGCUUUAUUAUUCAAACUUCCUUAUAUAUUACAAGUUUUGAUUUACACCAAGAGGAAAGGUUGGUUGGAAAAAGGGGAUUUAUGAAUAGGAAAGUAUGUUGAAAGGUUCUAAG
rnacentral:lncRNA from 1 species